CUUAUGAGGUGUACGAAUAUUGAAGAGAGAGAAAGAGUCAAAUACUCCCCUAAAGACUCGACGGAUCAUAUUAUAAAUAAUACAACAAGACAGGUUUAUGACGGAUGAUGUAAUGCCUAGCUUUACCGUGAAGGGGAAAAGGAGAAAAUGACUUUCCAAAAGCAGUUUUUCAAGGUGUUCAAGCAAGUGUCACUGUGUUUACUGCUACUGAACAUGAGGUUGAUGGGGCAAUUGGAUCCUGUCUGAAGUACGCUCCAGACAGACAAGGAGGUGGAGGACGACGAACUAUUUACACAAGUUAAUGAACAUACAUCUCUAAAUUUAUAAAUUAACAAUGUGUCAUUUUAAUAAUUUAA